UGGUUAUCGAGAAAGGCGGAGGGACUAGACCCUGUGAAGCCUUAGCAACCCUUAGCACAUCCCAUCAUCUGGGAUUCUGAGAAGGUGCUACAUUCUACCUAACAUCGGUACAUGAUGAUGGGAUGGAUAACGA
rnacentral:ncRNA from 2 species